ACCACCAGCCUCACCCUCCUGGGACCCGGGCCUGUUGUCUUCCUUAGCGCGGAACCUAAUCACAUUUCUAUCCCAACCCUCUCUGGCACCCUAACAACCCCUUCCUUCCCUCCUGGGACAGGCUGAAGGCACCUUGAAUCCUCGUCUCACCUCAGCUGAUUUCCCCAGCCCUGGUCUCUAUUCCCUGGUUGAGGAUAUCAAUCCGUCCCAGACCUCGGCUUCCCUCUCUCAAUCCUUUCUUAUUCCCCCCCCCCCGGCAAUUUUUUUUUUUUUCAUUUAAUCUGGGACAUAUUUACCAGUCGGGAUCCUGUGGGGGCGGGGUCCUUCUCGCCUGGGACCUCAAGAGCGGACCUUUCCUUAGAUGACCCUAGAGACUGGCUUUCCAGGCAGGUCUCAGAAACCCAAAUGCUGGGCCCCCAUCUCCUCCCAUUCAGGAUUCUUGGAAGUCUAGGAUCCCAGCUCUCCUUAUCUGGGAAGAGAGGGGUCUGCACCCCCAGCGCACGUCCUAGGGGAACCUCAAGGAGAUGACUGGUGAAAAGUGAGGUCACAAAAGUGGGCUCUAACACAACUAGAGUCCUUCUUAAAAGAGAUUAAGGACCAGUGAGAUGGCUCAUCAGGAAAGGUUCAUUGAAGAAUGCAACAAAAUCAUUUUUAAAGAAGUGUGCAAGGCCUGAUGGCACAUGCCUUUAAUCCCAGUCCUUCAGAGGCACAGACAAAUGGAUGUCUAACCUGUUGACUGGCUGAGUGGGCUUGGUCAGCCAUAAAUAGGACAUUUCUAUCGCACUCAUUCUCCAAGGCCAAAGGAUCAUCGUCAUGCAGAGGGAGAGAGGCAGAUUCUAAGAGCCAGAGGCCAGGGAUGGAAAUCAGGUCUUUGUUUCACAAAGUUGUUUAUAGCCAUCUUGCAAGCCUACCUCUGUUUCAAUAAGGUAACGGCAGAAUUGACUCAACUCUCAGCAGUGACUUUCCUAACUCCUGGCCAUGGCCGAGCUGCUUCAGUGUCCCCAGCCUUCCUCCUUGCUUUCUCCUGGGCCAGCUCACCACUUCUCAAACUACACAUUUCUGCAACAGCAGCAAGAUCUUCCUGACAUCUUCCUCAAGCCCAAGUUUUGGUUGUAGUUUAUUUUAUUUUACUUUAGUUUUGCAUUGGACCACGGGAUAGAUAUCUUUUCCAUUAGUGGACUGGCUGCAUCUUCCCCUGUGGCUCACUGCAUGCUUGAAGGACAGCCCUUAGUCUGUAACACUGUGCAGUGUUGUCCUUCAGGUAGCUGCCACAAAGAUAACUCUACUCCCUUCUCAUGCUAAGCUGUGGACUCUCCCCUUCUGACCAGGUGGGGGCACCCCCCUUCUGACACCUCACAUCUUUGUGAGGCUAGGCACUUCCUCUCCUACUGAGGCCAAACAAGACAGCCCAAGUUGUGGCCUCUUAACCGGUUCUAACCAGUGGAAUGUGAGCGGGAGUGACUUGUGCCAUUUCAGUGCUCUAAGCGAGAAAUGCUGGAUGGGUGCAGGGGGAGAGGAAUCCGUAUCCACUGCAGUGAGAAUAGCAAUUUGUAAAAUAUCCACGGAAAUCAAUAUGGAGGUACCCCCCCGUCCCCACAAAAUAAAAACCCUAAGCAUAAAAUGACUAUUUGAUCCAGCUAUACCACUCCUGGCUAUAUGGCCAAAGGAAUCAAAGUCACCAUGCUACAGAAAUUCCUGCACAUUUAUGUUCACUAUAGCACUGUUUACAACAGCCGAGUUGUGGAAAAAAGCUAGAUGCCCACCAGUGGAUUAAUAGAUAAAGAAAAUAUGGCACAUAAACAAAGUGAAAUUUUACCCAGCCAUAAAGAGGAAUAAAUUUGUGGCAUUGUCAGGAAAAUGAAUGGAACUGGGAAUCAUUGUAUUCAGAGAAAUAAGAUAGACCCAGAAAAAUAAAUACUAUAUAUAAAAUAAAAUAUAUGUAAACA
ensembl:antisense